UCGGGAUAAGGAGGACCCCAGUAGCGUGACGAGACUUGCUCUCCGAGCGUGAAGGGGUGUCACAAAAUUGAGGGAAGCGACUGUUUACCAAAAACACAGCAGCGUGCUAAGCCGUAAGGCGCUGUAUACGCUGUGACUCCUGCCCGGUGCUGGAAGGUUACGGGGAUGGGUUAGUCCUUUGGGACGAAGCUCUGAACCUAAGCCCCAGUAAACGGCGGCCGUAACUAUAACGGUCCUAAGGUAGCGAAAUUCCUUGUCGGGUAAGUUCCGACCUGCACGAAUGGAGUAACGACUUCCCUACUGUCUCAACCAUAGACCCAGCGAAAUUGAAGUACGAGUAAAGAUGCUCGUUAGCUGCAGAAGGACGGAAAGACCCCGUGGACCUUUACUAUAACUUGAUGUUGCGUUUUGUCAUAUGUUGUGUAGGAUAGGUGGGAGACAAGGAAGCAUGGACGCUAGUCUGUGUGGAGUCAUCGUUGAAAUACCACCCUGCAUAUGGUGAGGCUCUAACCUAGACCCGUUAUCCGGGUUGGGGACAGCGUCAGGCGGGUAGUUUAACUGGGGCGGUUGCCUCCUAAAGAGUAACGGAGGCGCCCAAAGGUUCCCUCAGCCUGGUUGGCAAUCAGGCGUCGAGUGCAAUGGCAAAAGGGAGCUUGACUGCGAGACCUACAAGUCGAGCAGGAGCGAAAGCUGGGCAUAGUGAUCCGGCGGUUGCGUGUGGAAGCGCCGUCGCUCAACGGAUAAAAGGUACCCCGGGGAUAACAGGCUAAUCUUGCCCAAGCGUCCAUAGCGACGGCAAGGUUUGGCACCUCGAUGUCGGCUCAUCGCAUCCUGGGGCUGAAGCAGGUCCCAAGGGUUGAGCUGUUCGCCCAUUAAAGCGGUACGCGAGCCGGGUUCAGAACGUCGUGAGACAGUUCGGUCCCUAUCCUCUGUAGCCGUAGGUGAAUUGAGGAAAGCUGUCCCUAGUACGAGAGGACCGGGACGGACGCAGCUCUCGUGUGCCAGUUGUCCUGCCAAGGGCAUGGCUGGUUAGCGACCUGCGGAAAGGAUAACCGCUGAAAGCAUCUAAGCGGGAAGCCUCUUCCGAGAUGAAUUCACCCACAGGGUUAACCUGGUAAGGCCCGUGGUAGACCACCACGUUGAUAGGCCGGAAGUGUAAGCGUGGCAACACGUUCAGCUGACCGGUACUAAUCGGCCGAGGGCUUGAAUUG
rnacentral:rRNA from 1 species